GAAUGGACCAACUAUAUUCAGUUAUAGUAAAAACUUUGGAUGUUUUCCAGACGUAGCCAUACCAAAAAGACGCAAAAUUAUGAAACCUGCUCCAGUGGAAGUAUCUGCUUUAAACAAAGAUGUGGGAGCUGAGGCUGAAGUUGAGGCCGAUUCCAAUAUUCCUGUACCAGACAGCAUAACUGUACUUCAUGAUCACGAGUAUGCAACGUCAAGUCCUCAACAUAAUAAAUGUACCAACAUGAUGUAAAAUGUGUUAUCACAACCAGAUACAAAUCAUCCCUUAAACACAUGGAAGAGGAAUUAGUAAAGUUGCAGCAAGAAAUUAAAAUGCUCAAGCUAAACAAAUCCGUACAUGACAAUUAAGGACAUAAUUAAAUACCCUGAAAAGAUGCUGCUGUAUGCAUCAUUUUUUGCAGAUACUUUUCGCAUUUUGGAGAACCUCGUGGAGAGAAUGGGCCCGUUCAAUUAUUAUGGUGGUUGGAUUGUGGUGAACUUCAGUGUCAGUUUUUGUUUAUAAUUUGAAUCAAUUUUUUAAUAAAAACAGUAGUUCAUAAUGGUGAAAAUUGCUGGUUUAAUUUUAAAAGGUUACAUUUCUUGUACUAUAACUCAAAGGUCUUUGU